AGAGGAUUGGAUACCUUGCAGCUGGGUGGAAGCUAGCACCCUAGAAAGAGCAGUGCUGGGAAGGAACAGGGGAGCGAGAGGGAGCUCCUUUCUGGCUCUAGGACUGACAUGCUGAGGCCCUGAGAACUCCUUGGGACCAGGAACAGCCAAGGAGCAUUAAGAUGGCAACAACAGUGUGUGGCUGGGACUCUGAGGCAGUGAUGGGUAUAUCUGAGAUGGGCAACUCAUCUUUAGUAAUAUACUUUCAGGCACAGUGGAUGCUAUGCACAGAUGCGAGGCCCAGGACCUUCAACUCUCUGGCUGAUUGGGAGCCUUUGAGGAGGACCACUGGGGAGUCCUGACAACAGGUGGAUUUUGUCGCAGGCGGGGAGACCCUCUGGGAUGAUAGACACCAGGAAAGCUGCAGGAUUUCCUCCCAGCAAUCACCAAAGCAACAAACCUUCAUCCUGCCAGAAAGAGAAACUCAUCUCGCAUCCUCCUCCUCCUCCCAAGGCCAUGGUCAAUGCUACUCAGUGAAUCAGCUGCCAGAGGAUGUUGUCAGAAAAGGACAUCUCACACCCAGUUAUGUUUGCCAGUUAGUUGCUAAAUAUAACAGGAUAAUAUUUUUUUAACUCAAAUGGUAAAUGGGUAUCGUUUCUCUUUACAUUUCUGAUGUCUUUCACCAUGUGUCUCCUUCCAAAGGAAACAUUGUAGAGUUGUAUAAGUGUCUUGCUAUGAUAUUAUAUUCUAAGGACAGUAUAGGAAAAUAUUCUAUUUUUACUUUGGUGAAGUCAACAUUGUAAUAAAGUAAAUAUUUCUUGUUAAGGUCACCUAUGAUAGACUUUGUUGAUCUGUUUUUGUAAAAGAAAUAAAGAGCUCUUUCUGUACAUAGCCAUGCAUAGUGAUCUCUAUCUUCAUCUCCCUUGUUAAAUGUAAACCUCAGUAGACUAUUGGCUAUUUUGAGUGUCUUAUACAUUUAAUAUACAAGCUAUUCUUAGGGAAACAAUCUUACCUUUCUGGAAUACAGCGUGUGGGAAUUGUGUAAAAUGUGUUGGUGGUAUCAGUGCAAUAAACUGUAAAGC